UUACAGUAAUUAGAUGCUGAAAGAGACCGGAGGAAAACAGCUCAGAUCACAGCAGUUUGUACAACUCUCCUGGAGACCAGUCAGACUCUACCCAUGAUGUUAUAGAAAAUCUGCCUCAAAGAUUGCUAAGUGCCCAGAAUCAAACCCAGGGCCUCAUGCAUACCAGGAAGAGCUGGAAAAGAAUGACAGGAGCUGUCACGACCUGCAAAGCCUAAAUCAUUUACUAUCAGAAAAAAAAGUUUGCUAAUCUUGUAUUUAGUAUCUAUUUAUUGCCCUUUGUGACCAACUCGGAGUUGAGUCAGAGUCUGGUUCAAAAGCUUAGCUAAAAUGUAAAUCAGCAAACAUAAGCAUGGGGCAUUGUGGAUUGUGAAAUUUUUUUUACGUGCUAGCUCUUCUGAUUUCUCCAAUAGAGGUAUAAAAUAGACCACUACUUCCAUGAGGAAACAGGUUGAAAAUAUUGCAUAAUAUCCCAGGGUUAAAAAGAAAAGAGUCAGUGUUUUCAGUCUUUUAACAGCUCAUGUUCCUUUAUCCCUGGAAAAUACUUACUUUGAUUUUUAAAAAGGGUGCUAGUGGCCAUUACCAUUAAUCAUUUUAUGAUGUACUCGUUUGUAAAAAAAUUAAGGUUAGUUACAAUUAAUUAUACUUUGUUCAUAUGUUUUAUCUCCUAAA